UGGGGAAUAUUGGACAAUGGGGGGAACCCUGAUCCAGCCAUGCCGCGUGUGUGAAGAAGGCCUUCGGGUUGGGGAGCACUUUCGGUUGUGAGGAAAGGUAAGGUGUUUAAUACCAGCUUGCCGAGUUGACGUUACCAUCAGAAGAAGCACCGGCUAACUCCGUGC
rnacentral:rRNA from 1 species